rnacentral:misc_RNA from 1 species
AACGUUUUUAACCCUUGGAAUAGGGUAUAAUGGUGCUAAAUGUUAUUCGAAUUGGGAAAGUUAGACCAACUUUAAUUUGGGAAGAUAAUUAUACUUGUUGGAAGGUCAAAGACAUAAGAAUAAAUAUAGUUCUUAGACAGGUUGAGGACCAUCUUAGGAAAAAUGAAUAUUUCAAGGUGAAUAACACCUUAAAUAUAUUGCAGAGAGCUUUCUGCCAAGUUCAAAAUGUACCAGUUUAUCAUCAAGAUGGCUUGGUAGGAUCAUCUUCCAAGAGUGACACCCUUUUGAAAGUUUUUGAACUUGGAAGAGA